rnacentral:rRNA from 1 species
GACGGAGGAUGCAAGCGUUAUCCGGAAUGAUUGGGUGUAAAGCGUCCGCAGGUGGCAGUUCAAGUCUGCUGUCAAAGACCGGGGCUUAACUUCGGAAAGGCAGUGGAAACUGAACAGCUAGAGUAUGGUAGGGGCAGAGGGAAUUCCUGGUGUAGCGGUGAAAUGCGUAGAGAUCAGGAAGAACAUCGGUGGCGAAGGCGCUCUGCUGGACCGCAACUGACACUCAGGGACGAAAGCUAGGGGAGCGAAUGGG